CGCCCUUCGGGGCAAUUUGGUCAAUUUGAAACGAUACAGAGAAGAUUAGCAUGGCCCCUGCACUAAGGAUGACACGCUACUCAAAGAGACGCUACCAAUUUUU
rnacentral:snRNA from 15 species